rnacentral:lncRNA from 1 species
GCUGCCUGCGGGCCGGCGGCUGGCCGGGAGCUCGGCGUGGCCCGUGCCGGUCGGGGGAUCCCGUCGCAGGUGGGCAGGGACGGAGUGAGCCGCACCACUGCCGGCCCGACGCCCAUCCCCAGAGCUCCGCGCCCCUGGAGGCCUCCUCCUCCCUCUCCGGGCCGGGUUGGGGUCCUCCUGGAAGUCCUGCCCCGCUCCCUUCUCCAAAUCCGCAGGGCCCUGGCUCUAGGGAGACAGCGAGGCUCGUACAGAAUAUGUGCAAAUGGUUUCUACAAGCAGAGUCGAAAGACACCCGUUUGCUGUAGGGUCCUUUUGGUGAGGGCGCGCGGGAAGCCGGGGUGCUCUCCCCGCGGAGGCGCGGCCGGGCCCGGGGCCUGCGAGCUGGGAGAGGGCAGGCGCCUUCCUCGCGCCCCGGGACCCUCGCCGCCUCCUCUCCCCGCCUCUGCAGACGCAGCCGGGCGCCUUCCUCCCGGAGGGCGGCUCGCGCACCCAGGCUCCGCGUCUGGUCCCAACAGAAAUGAAUGAAGACGCUGUUCCGGUUAACUCCAGGUCACGAGAACAGUGAGGCACUUCUGAAACGAACCCAUUAGGAACAUUGAAACAAAUAAAAAAAAGCCCGCAUCUGGCAGCGCCCACUACAGGCUGCUGACGUAGACCCUGCUGUCCUGGAGCUCCUCCUCACUCGGUCGACCCCGCGCGCGCACACAGCCCGCGUCCUCUUCGCCCCCGGCUCGGUCCUGCCCCGCGUCCCUGCAGUUCACAAAGGGCGUCGGCCAGCUCCUGGGUGGUGACCUCGAUGAACUUGGGAUCUUGAGCAAACUGCCCCAGUCCUUCUGAAAUCAAGACCUGAAGGAGCGGGGUGGGAGCCAUGAAGAACCAAAGGAACAUUACUCCUGGAGCCCAGCUCUUCCCUUGAGGGCUAGAGCGAGGGGGUAUCUGGUCUCAUCCUGAGACGUCUCCUCCUGACCCGCCAUGGCUGCCUGGCUCUCCCGGGAGUGGCACCUACAAUAUCCAAGAUGAAGAAAAACAUCAGAAACUGCCAACCUUCCUCCACUUCCUUCAGCAAGUAAAGCAUCACACACGCACACACAUGCAGGUGUACACACGUGCACAAACACAAGCACACACACGUGAACAGGCAUACAGUUGCUGGUGCUUUGUUCUCCUGUGAUUGCUGAUGGAUCCAUAGAAGUGUUCAGAUUAGGGUGAGGGUCCCAUUUGGGAGAAGGAUGUCUGCUGUGGAUCCAGGAGUCCUGACCCCAAUCCACUUACCCUCUGGUCCAAGUCACUUGGUCCACCUCAUGCCUCAGUUUCCCUAUGAAAUUGGAAUGACAUAUGCCCUGCCUAACUUAGAGGCUGCCCCCCACUCACCUCCAGCUAUGACACCUGGGUCUUUGGCAUUUGGCAUAGCUGAGAAGUCCUUGGCCUCUUAUUUUGAUGGUGCCCUUGAUUCUGACACUGGCACCCUGGGGUAAAGGCACAGAGAGGAAGCCUCACCUAGAGGGGUUUGCUCUCCUGAGCAGAAGGCAGUGAGCCUGAGUCCCUGCUGAGCCUGAAUCCCUCCUGAGCUCCAGAUCCUCACACAUCGGAACGUGCCUUUCCCUGCUGGGACAGGGUCAGGUCAUCUUUAGCUCUGGACCAAGGCCUCUUCCUUUUCCUGUCUGAGCUCAGCUCAGUGCCUCCCUUUGUCUUGCUUUCUAUAGACCUUGCAUGCUGGGCCCACUUUAUCCUCAGACCCCUGAGGGCAUCAGAGAAAGAUCCUGGUCCAUCCUCUCAGAGCCGAGUGCUAAAUCAGUGCCCUGGCUCUGAGCAUCCCAGGCAGGGUAGAAGCAAUUCUCUCUCUCGAGGAGGAGGACUGCAGACUGCCACCCGCCCCGCAGUGGAAGGAAAGAUGAGAGGGGUCGAGAGUGCGCCAUGGCACCACCCACCCUGAAGAUGUCAUCUUCAGAAGCAGCGGACACAGCCUCCUUCAUGGCCUUGUCCAGCUCCUCCUCAGCGGUGAGAUCUCCAGAGAUGGCCCGUCGGAUCUCAGGCCCGAUGUCAUGCAGUGUGCGCAAGCCAGCCUGGAAUCCAAGGGGAGGAUGAGAGAAGCUUGUUUGGCUUGGUACUGGACUUGGGAUGAGAGCUCUUCCUUCUACGUUCCAAGAGAGAAGCUUCUUUGGCUUGGUACUGGACUUGGGAUGACAGCUCUGCUUCUCUGAGGGCCGUCCUGACCAGGGCAAACAGGGUGGCAUUGAACAUGACUGUCCCGUCGCUGUUCAGAGGCAUGUUCAUGGAGACCAGGCGCUGCAGGCGAAGAGAAGCAAAGCUGGUGAUGAUGGCAGGCGGUGCUUAGGGGACCGCAGAACACCGUGGCAGAGUGAUAUGGUUUGGCUCUGUGUCCUCGCCCAAAUCUCAUGUUGAAUUGUAAUCCCCAGAAUUGGAGGUGGGGCCUGAUGGAAGGUGAUUGCAUCAUGGGGUGGAUUUCUCAUAAAUGGUUUGGUACCAUCCCCUUGGUGAGUGAGUACUCAUGAGAUCUGCUUGUUUAAGUAAGUGUGUGGUCCCUCCCCCUUCUCUCUUGCUCCCUGUCUGUCCAUGUGACGUACCUGCCUCCCCUUUGCCUUCCACCAUGAUUGAUUGGAAGCUUCCUGAGGCCUCCCCAGAAGCAGAAUGCUAGUGCCAUGCUUCCUGUACAGCCUGCUGAACUGUGGGCCAAUUAAACCUGUUUUCUUAUAAAUUACCCAGUCUCAGGUAUUUCUUUACAGCAGUGCAAGGAUGGCCUAAUACACAGAGGAUGCUGGGGGUGACACGCAGCUUGUGUGGGUGUUGCUGGAGUGGGCAGGGAGUGAAUGCUCCCUGAAGCAUUCCAGGGAGAAUCUUGCCUUUGCCACAACUACUUUUGACCCUCCUCGUGGAGUGGGAGAGGUAUGAAAUUUGUCCUCAUUAGACCUUCACUUCCACAAAAGGAUGUGAAGGCCACCCAACUUUGCGCCCUGCUCGAAAGUCUGCUCAGGCGUGCAGGUGUGCUCUCCACUGGCAGCAAAGACCGGCUGUACGCCAGCAUGUGCUGGGAGCCCACCUGCCAGGCAGCAUUCGUCCACAGCCCAGAGAAGAGAAAGGAUCACAGGAGCUUUGCCUGCAGGAGAUGCUACAUGUCCUCUCUGUGUAUUGACAAAUAUGCUUCUGCAUCAAGUUGGAGCAGAAGCUUGCUGACACUGGAUAGUGCUGUCUUGCCCUCUUCUUUCCCAGCACACACCCCCAGAACAGGCUUCCCUGGCACGGAGCUCUGGUGUGGGGCCUUCAGCAUGCAAUGGGUCAUGACGAGCAAGCGCGGUGUGAAGCUCACCACAGCGUCCAUGCCAAGGGCAUGCUCAAGGGGGGCUAUUUGUCAGCUCACACGGUGACCUCCUGCUAAUCUCAGUGUCUAGAAGGGUUACACUUCUCCUGAGUGACCAGAUCUUGAUGAGCCUCAUGGACGGUGUGAACUGUAUCUUGGCCACCGGAAAGUUUCGCACCCAGGCUUCAGCCUGCCCAGGCCCGUCCGGAGGCCACAACGGACGCACUUUAGCCCCCUCCAGGCUGCACCCCUCCCCACCCUUGCCUUGCAUGGUGUUUGUACCUUGCAUUUAUUUUAUGCUCUUUUCUGAUAUUUUCUAUGC